rnacentral:lncRNA from 1 species
CUUUCUAUGCUUGAUGUUUUUGCCGCUUUGUCCUUUUUCAGUCCAUAACCUGACGUUGUAUUUCAUGACAGAUCUUCCAGCAAAAAUGAUCAUGCCAAAUCCAUUGCCCAAGUAAAUGUUUCAGGUCAGUAUAGAACCUGUGAGUUUUGCUGAUGUGAUCAUUUUUUGCGAUAUGUUUUUAACAAUCAACAAAAUGGAUACCAUAUUUCAGAAAUCAAAUGCUGUUAUCAACAUAUAUAGACAGAAAUUACUUGGUAAUACUUUCAACUGCUCCUUUGUUCUCUCUAGAUUUCUGCAAUAUGGAACCCGAUACAACGACUAAUCGCAUGCUGGAAAUGCCUAAUGCUGCUACUCCUAAGAUUUCCAAAGGUACGUGUUGCUUAACAAACUCGGUUUGUGUUCAAUCACUAGGUUUUUCUUUCUGUGCUUGAUCAUCCCUGCCAUUAUAAUCAAUUUCCUUACUGUUCUUUUAGGUACAGAAUCCUGCAUCAAUUCUCCAACAAAGUUGACUACGUUUGUUGCCUAUCCUUUUACCCUCAUAAAACCAUGUCAACUUCAAGGGCACUUGACUUUGAACGAUAUAAAUCAGCGAAUUCAUGCUCCACCAUCAUCGAGAUCAAGAGACAAGAAGGAUGAUAAACCAACCUUUGUUUAUCCAACAAAGUUGACUACCUCUGUCGCCUAUCCUUUUACGCUCGUAAGACCAUGUCAAGUUCAAGGGCACUUGACUUUGAACGAUAUAAAUCAGCGGAUUCAUGCUCCAUCACCAUCAAGAUCAAGAAACAAAACGGAUGAGUAGGUGGUUUCCUUUUAACAAUACAAGCGAACAGUGUGGCAAGGCAUCACCAAGAUCCUCACUACCAAUGGCUGCUGACCACAUAGGUCCAUUCUAAACUAAGUUGUGUGCGUGGCAUCCCAAUGAUUCUUUGUUUCUGUUGGGCUUAUGAUAAAUUUUGGGUGGCUACUCUGUAAGUUCUGAGCACAAUCCUUACUUUUUACCAGAUCCAUUGCACAGUCGUUAGUUUGGCAUUUCCUCUGAGUCUAAGUUUGUGUGCUCGUUGUAUUCGAAUGAAAUAUAAGUUAUAUGAUGCUCCUAUUGAUUGAGAAGAAUGCUUUCACUCCUGACAAAAUUGUUUUUGCUCUUGAUUAUGAGCACUUACCUAACAUUUCCUUAUUGUUUUCUAGGAUAAAUCAAGAAGUGAUACAUGCAGGGUAGCAAACAUAAUGUCAUUCAUGUCCAUGACACAGCUUGUAGGUUCGAUACCUCAGGGUGGAGCCUUGUGGUCUAUAUUAAAUAGGUUGUUCUUAGCCUAAGAAGAGUUUUUGUAUGCAAAAUGGGAAAUUUAGGCUUAGAAUUGUUAGAUUUUUGCACAACUGGAAGAAUCUGAUUUCAUGACAUUGCUUUCAGCAUAUAGGUAUAGAAGGCAGCAGCUUGUCAGGAAGUCUGCUGGAAGUGGGGUUGCUAAGAUAAUUGAAUGGGCUAGCUCACAAGGUACUCAUGAGGUUCUUUACUCCUAGAAAGAGAAGAAAUAAAUGUGCACAUGCGAUGCAUCUGAGGUUAGUAGCUUGUGCAAUGGACUGGCCACAAGCCACAUUGUAGCCCAGAUUUAUGAACCGGUCAAGAUUAGGAAUAUGCUAUUGCUGUCUACUGGGAAUGAAGGCUUCGUCUAUUUAUAGGUGAACAUUUUGUUCAGUCUUCCACUUUAUUUAAGAACAAUAUCUUUGAUGAUAGUAUCCAUCAAACUUCCAUAGACUAAUUUAAGUUUAAACUAAUCUAAGUCUUAUUGUUCCCGAUAUAAGAUUAAAUUAUUCCAAGUACCUCCGUAGAGACAGCCGAACUCCCAUCUCUCCAUGCAUCGGAGCAAAUGCUUUUAAAGAUGAUUGUGACUUUAGAAAGCUUUGCUGCAUUCAUUGGAAUUAAGUUUCGUUAUGACAAUCCUGAUCUUAUUUGAAGGGAGACAUGGACUCAAUUUUCCCGCUACUAAGCUGUCAUUUCUGUAUGAAUAAUACGAAAGGACAAAACUUCAAGCGGUGCUGCAGAUUUCACCGUCGCAUCAUUUCAAGUCCAAUUCUAAAUGAAUGAAACCAACAUGGCAACCCCAGUUCCCAACCUAGAAAUCUGUAAAGUUGAUACGGUCAAAUGAACAUUCAGUGUCAAAUCAGCCUUCAUCGUCCGCUGGGUCUCUUCUCCAUUUUGACUCAUCAAAUUUCUAAUAGGGUUAGAGAGAGGACAUAAUUUGAAAUGAAUACAAACAAAAUACUACUACUCAUGGAAAUAUUGUUUUUUCUUUAGUAUCGGGUCUUAAUUGGAUGUUCAUAUUUAAUAAUAGGCAUAAUGAUUUCCAUUUUCACUAUCAGAAGAUGAAAAUUGAUUCCCACAAAGACAAUUUUCUUAUCUACAUAAAACCCUUAAUAAUUUUCGAAAGGAAAACUUUGCAUGACGAUAAAAAAGAACAAAAUGCUCGUUCUAAAACAAUAAAAAGAGUAAAAAAAAAAGAAGGAAAAGAAAUCAUUCGAGAUGAAAGCUAGAGAGAGAAAGAGACCAAUAUGGGCAUCAUAGCGAGCCGAGAACCCAUCGGAACACAAGAGCACUGGCUUUCUGAGAUGCCUCCUUUGAUCUGCGAUCCUUCCACUUUGGCAGGGAUUUCUCCGAUCGUUUCCGAGAAACCCCCCCUUGACGAGAGGAGCGGGAGAAGAGGCGAACCCUUCUCCCGUCCUCCGCCGAGAUAGAAAGAUCCGAUAUUAGGUUUGUUCGGAGAUGAACAUACCAG